rnacentral:miRNA from 1 species
UAAUGGAUUAUGUAAGAUUAA